rnacentral:rRNA from 1 species
CAGCAGCCGCGGUAAUACGAAGGGUGCAAGCGUUACUCGGAAUUACUGGGCGUAAAGCGUGUGUAGGUGGUUGUUUAAGUCUGUCGUGAAAGCCCUGGGCUCAACCUGGGAAUUGCGAUGGAUACUGGGCGACUAGAGUGCGGUAGAGGAUAGUGGAAUUUCCGGUGUAGCAGUGAAAUGCGUAGAGAUCGGAAGGAACAUCUGUGGCGAAGGCGACUAUCUGGGCCAACACUGACACUGAGACACGAAAGCGUGGGGAGCAAACAGGAUUAGAUACCCCCGUAGUCCCUGUCUCUUAUAC